rnacentral:rRNA from 1 species
CCUACGGGUGGCAGCAGUGGGGAAUAUUGGGCAAUGGGCGCAAGCCUGACCCAGCAACGCCGCGUGAAGGAAGAAGGCCUUCGGGUUGUAAACUUCUUUUGUCAGGGACGAAGCACGUGACGGUUCCUGACGAAUAAGCCACGGCUACCUACGUGCCCGCAGCCGCGGCAAUCCGUAGGUGGCAAGCGUUAUCCGGAUUUACUGGGUGUAAAGGGCGUGUAGGCGGGACUGCAAGUCAGGUGUGAAAACCACGGGCUCAACCUGUGGCCUGCAUUUGAAACUGUAGUUCUUGAGUACUGGAGAGGCAGACGGAAUUCCUGGUGUAGCGGUGAAAUGCGUAGAUAUUAGGAGGAACACCGGUGGCGAAGGCGGUCUGCUGGACAGCAACUGACGCUGAGGCGCGAAAGCGUGGGGAGCAAACAGGAUUAGAUACCCGAGUAGUC